AAAUAAUCAAGCCAUCAACUGACAAGGAACGGAGAGGAGCUCGGAUCUUAGUGUCAUGAAUAGACGUUCAUACAACAAUCAAAGCAUUUGGUUCAAUGAAACCAUGUCAAAUAUUUUACCUACAUCAACAUACACAGUAAAUGAAAGUCAGGGCCAUGCAAUUCUGUCAUUCAUGAGGCCACAUGGUUUCAAUUUGCGUCUGGUGAACACGUAGAAGAUGCCACCAACUUUCGUACUCCAACAGACAAGAAAUUAUUUCCCCGUGUUCAUCAUCAGAGUAAUAUUAUCGCCUUUCAGAAGAAUCCGCCCCAACUGCUUGCUGGUUUUCUUCUUCACAUUAACUUCCUCAGCAUCAUCCAGAACUAAAUUCAUGUACUCAUCAAAACCAAUGAUACGUCCUUCAAUCCUCAGAUCCUUCUGUUCAAAAAGCCAUAUUUGAAUCCGAGCUUUGCUCUGAAGAAACCUGAAA
rnacentral:misc_RNA from 1 species